UACGGAGGGUGCAAGCGUUAUCCGGAUUCAUUGGGUUUAAAGGGAGCGUAGGGGGUCUUGUAAGUCAGUGGUGAAAUCUGGCAGCUUAACUGUUAAAUUGCCAUUGAUACUGCAGGACUUGAGUACAGAUGCCGUUGGCGGAAUAUGACAUGUAGUGGUGAAAUACAUAGAGAUGUCAUAGAACACCGAUUGCGAAGGCAGCUGACGAAACUGUAACUGACACUGAGGCUCGAAAGUGUGGGGAUCAAACAGG
rnacentral:rRNA from 1 species